UAAAAGCCUUUCUUGCUUUGUCUUCAUGGA
rnacentral:piRNA from 1 species